rnacentral:rRNA from 1 species
AACGAACGCUGGCGGCAGGCUUAACACAUGCAAGUCGAGCGCCCCACAAGGGGAGCGGCAGACGGGUGAGUAACGCGUGGGAAUCUACCCAUCUCUACGGAAUAACGCAUGGAAACGUGUGCUAAUACCGUAUACGUCCUUCGGGAGAAAGAUUUAUCGGAGACGGAUGAGCCCGCGUUGGAUUAGCUAGUUGGUGGGGUAAAGGCCUACCAAGGCGACGAUCCAUAGCUGGUCUGAGAGGAUGAUCAGCCACACUGGGACUGAGACACGGCCCAGACUCCUACGGGAGGCAGCAGUGGGGAAUAUUGGACAAUGGGCGCAAGCCUGAUCCAGCCAUGCCGCGUGAGUGAUGAAGGCCCUAGGGUUGUAAAGCUCUUUCACCGGUGAAGAUAAUGACGGUAACCGGAGAAGAAGCCCCGGCUAACUUCGUGCCAGCCGCCGCGGUAAUAC